rnacentral:rRNA from 1 species
GGGAUUAUGAUUUGCUUAUUGCACCACAUGUGUUUUUCUUUGAAACAAACUUGCUUUGGCGGUGGGCCCAGCCUGCCGCCAGAGGUCUAAACUUACAACCAAUUUUUUAUCAACUUGUCACACCAGAUUAUUACUUAAUAGUCAAAACUUUCAACAACGGAUCUCUUGGUUCUCGCAUCGAUGAAGAACGCAGCGAAAUGCGAUACGUAAUAUGAAUUGCAGAUAUUCGUGAAUCAUCGAAUCUUUGAACGCACAUUGCGCCCUCUGGUAUUCCGGAGGGCAUGCCUGUUUGAGCGUCGUUUCUCCCUCAAACCGCUGGGUUUGGUGUUGAGCAAUACGACUUGGGUUUGCUUGAAAGACGGUAGUGGUAAGGCGGGAUCGCUUUGACAAUGGCUUAGGUCUAACCAAAAACAUUGCUUGCGGCGGUAACGUCCACCACGUAUAUCUUCAAACUUUGACCUCAAAUCAGGUAGGACUACCCGCUGAACUUAAGCAUAUCAAUAAGCGGA